rnacentral:rRNA from 1 species
UCGGGAAUUUUUCUCAAUGGGGGAAACCCUGAAGGAGCGACGCCGCGUGGGGGAUGAAUGGCUUCGGCCCGUAAACCCCUGUCAUUUGCGAUCAAACCUUACGACCUAACACGUCGUAAGCUGAUAGUAGCGGAAGAGGAAGGGACGGCUAACUCUGUGCCAGCAGCCGCGGUAAUACAGAGGUCCCAAGCGUUGUUCGGAUUCACUGGGCGUAAAGGGUGCGUAGGCGGUCGGGUAAGUCUGACGUGAAAUCUUCGAGCCUAACUCGGAAACUGCGUCGGAUACUAUUCGGCUAGAGGAAUGGAGGGGAGACUGGAAUACUUGGUGUAGCAGUGAAAUGCGUAGAUAUCAAGUGGAACACCAGUGGCGAAGGCGAGUCUCUGGACAUUUCCUGACGCUGAGGCACGAAAGCCAGGGGAGCAAACGGGAUUAGAUACCCGUGUAGUCCCUGAGCGGGCUGGCAAGGCG